GUAAUGGUUGUAAAAAGCUGAGAGUGAUGCAAAUUCAAAGUAAGAAUAUAUAUGUUAACAAGGAAACUUUGUGGAAAAGCACUAGAGGAAAAAAAUGAAUAAUAAAGAAUCUUCUUAAGAGAAUAUCCAUAAAAUACAUAGUAAAAAAAUAGGACGGCAGGGAUACAAACAAGAUUCAGCACUCCGUACAGAAACAGAAUAACAAAAAAAUCAUAAUUCCCCAUCUUAACACUUGACAUCCUAGAAAAUUUCAUGCGGGGUAGAGAUAUGGGAAAACAAACCAAGAAGUUACCACCUAACCAAAUAAAUCAGAGGGAGAGCCUUAGACCUGGGCACUUAAGGCAUAUUGGGAAAAAUAUUUAACUUUUGAACAGAACAAAUAAGACAUCAUAGCAUGAAUCUUAAAUUCAGCUCACUUGAUAUUAGAUCAUUUGCACUGUUUGCAAACUUCAGCAAAUGCUGUUUUGUAUGACUUACCAAUGGAUGUCUCCAACAUAAUGGUAAAAUUCAGUAUAAUAAGAAGCAGACAAGAAAGAGUCAUACUAACUUGGACCACUAACUCUAGUAAAAGAAAAAAUGAAAAGAAAGAAAAUGUGAAAGGAUAGUUUAAAUUAUAUCAUAUUUGAAAUUCUCGAGAAAAAUUUUGAAAUGAAGAGAUUUGGAUUUAUUAAUUGAUUUUAUAUUAAUCAACUGAAUACAUAGGUUUUCUUUGGUUGGGAGAUUCAUAAAUGGAAUACAUGAAUUAAUGUAAAUAAAAAUUUGUAUCUAGAAUGAAUUAGAAUUACUUAAAUAGUAGUUAUUAAAGGGUAAAGGCGCACUAAGGCACCAAGGGGCCCUAGAGCCUGGACGCAAGGCGUAGGCUCGCGCCUGAGUGAAGUGAGGUACAAAAGUAAAAAAUAAAAAUAAAAA
rnacentral:misc_RNA from 1 species